rnacentral:tRNA from 1 species
GCUUUCGUAGUUUAAUGAUAAAACACCCGAUUCGUAAUCGGGAAAUGAGAGUUUGAUUCUCUCCGAAAGCACCA